UACGUAGGGUGCAAGCGUUGUCCGGAAUUAUUGGGCGUAAAGAGCUCGUAGGCGGUCUGUCGCGUCGGCUGUGAAAACUCGGGGCUCAACUCCGAGCCUGCAGUCGAUACGGGCAGACUAGAGUGCGGUAGGGGAGACUGGAAUUCCUGGUGUAGCGGUGAAAUGCGCAGAUAUCAGGAAGAACACCCGUGGCUAAGGCGGCUCUCUAGUACGGUACUGACGCUGAGACGCGAAAGCGUGGGGAGCGAACAGG
rnacentral:rRNA from 1 species